GGUCUUAGUUCGGAUUGGAGUCUGUAACCCGACUCCAUGAAGUUGGAUUCGCUAGUAAUCGCGCAUCAGCCAUGGCGCGGUGAAUACGUUCCCGGGCCUUGUACACACCGCCCGUCAAGCCAUGGAAGCCGGGGGUGCCUGAAGUCCGUAACCGCGAGGAUCGGCCUAGGGCAAAACUGGUAACUGGGGCUAAGUCGUAACAAGGUAAC
rnacentral:rRNA from 1 species